GCGCCCGUAGCUCAGAGGANNGGUGCCUUCUAAGCACUUGGCCGCAGGUUCGAGUCCUGCCGGGCGCA
rnacentral:tRNA from 1 species